rnacentral:tRNA from 2 species
GAGGCUGUAGCUCAGUCUGGUUUUAGAGCACUGCUCUGAUAAGGCAGGGGUCCACAGUUCAAAUCUGUGCAGCCUCA